rnacentral:lncRNA from 1 species
AUAAAAACCUUAAAUUGUCCCCAAUGUCUGCUUCAAAUUGGAUGGCACUGCAGCUGGAGGCUUUGUUCAGAAUUGAUCCUGGGGAGCUACGAACCCAAAGUUUCACAGUAGGAAGGGGGAAAAAAGAAAAGAAAACAUUUUUCCUAAUGUAACAAUGCGAAUGCUAGAAAAUGACAAGACUGAUCGGUUUUAAACCAUUCUGAAGACUGACUGAGCGUGGAAGUUGCUCAACAAAAAAAGGAACGGGUAUAUUGACAGAGUCUUGCUCUAUUGCCCAGGCUGCAACUGGUGUGAUCUCGGCUCACUACAACCUCUGCCUCCUGGGUUCAAGCGAUUCUCCUGCCUCAAGCUCCCAAGUAGCUGGGAUUACAAGCAUGCACCACCAUGCCUGGCUAAUUUUUGUAUUUUUAGUGGAGACGGGGUUUCGCCACAUUGGCCAGGGUGGUCUUGAACUCCUGACCUCAAGUGAUCCACCUGCCUUGGCCUCCCAAAGUGCUGGGAUUAUAAGCAUGAGCCACUGCACCCAGCCUUAUACUGAACUUUCAAUGGGUUCAAUUCCACUAGGAGCAUAAAGGCCACUGCAUAUGAGUUGUGGAAAGAAGAGAUUAGAAGAAGGAAGAACUUGAGAUGAGUUCCUCCCUUCAACAUUCUGUCUCCUCCUACCUAGCAUCUUCUUUCUUUUAGUCUUUCUAGAAUGUCCAUCUGUUUUUGGCCAUUGCGGAGAGAGAAGCUGAGCUUUAAAGGAGUAGGAGCUUCAAAGGCGUAGGAGCUUCAAAAUUCUUGUUUCUUCAUGUUUGAUCACCCUUCUAAACCUGUCUUCUGUUCCUUCUGCUAUUCUUUUUUCUUAGAGCAUAGGAAAGGGGAGCUUUUAAAUUAAUACUUAAAGCAUGGAAAAAAAGAACUUGAGAAGAAAGUAAAACAAGGGAGAUGAGGCUAGUAAAGUAAGGAAAAUGAAGAGGAAGAGGAGGAAGGGUUAGCUUCUAAAUUCCAAGUCAAAUUGAUAUGGAACAGGCAAGCCGCUUGUCUUACUUAAACUUCAGAAAAGGAUCUGCUGAAACUUGAUAGAAAUGGAAAGGGAAAUCCUUGGGGUGGGGAACCUCCAAACAUUAGUAAUGAUAUUGAACAACUCAAAGUAUUGAGGAAAUCUGCAGGCUACAUGCCUGAAGAUUACCCAUGCAGAUAGACCAAAAGGAUUAGAAUUAUCUGUUGAUAUUAGUAAUAUUUAUUGACAUCUAGCUAGUAUUGGUAAUUUUAAGUUUUAGAUUAAUUUCUUUGGUAAUAGCUAUGAUAUAUUUUAUAGACAAGAAUUAUAUCUAUAGGCUUGCUAUCAUAGGCUCUUUUAAUCAGCAUUAAUUUAGUCUACUGAUUUUUAGCACAUUUGAAUCAUUCACUUAUGCUAGGUAACUCAUUGCAAAAUAAAAAGAUGAUUCCUGUAUGUAUGGCAGCUAUACAUUAAGGAGGAGUCUACCAGAAUAUGAAAAAGUCAGCUGACCUAAAUAUUGCUGAGACAAAGGAAAACCCACUCCCUUGGAGGAGCAUGACCUUUUCCUGUAAUUCUUCCCACUGCUGUUGUUGAGCUCCUUGGAUCCUGGCUCCUGGACACCAUCAUCAAGAAGACUUUAUGGAUGGGCUGUCCACCCACUGAGAGAAGAGGAGCAUCAGCUACAGUUUCUCUCUAGAUUGCCUUCUUCAUUUUGAGUAAUGACUGUCAGCAGGGUCAGAUUAAACACAAAACAACUGGACAAUUGCUUGGAGGACUAAACUAUAAGGGCACUAACAUGUCAAUAGUAGGCUAACACAUCCAUGGAAAAUAUAUUUACCAGCUCUUCUCUCAGGGAGGAUUCUGUGUGGGGUUGGAAGUAAUGAUUUGUUAAAUUCCUUAGGGGUAGAAAGUAGGGCAUAAUCAGAAUAUAGAGGAAUAUGCUGUUUGACUUCAGGGUUUCUGUUUUUCUUACUAGGAUAUAUAAAACAGGGACUCUAGCUAGAUUGUUUAUGACCACAGAGGGUAGGCUGAGUGCUCCCAUGAUCUUCCUGCUUGGUUCUUGCCCAUACAGAGGUCAGCCUUUCCUCUAAUAAAGAUUGAACAAGUAGUGGUCUGAGGGAGACACCAAUUCAUUACCCUACAUGUCUCUUCUCUGCACUCCAGGGCUUUGAUAAUAAAGACACUGGCAGACUAUCUAUCUUCCAUUUCUAUAAUGUGAGCCCUUAGGGAGUCUUCGUUCACUUGGGGGUGAGGGUCAUUGCUCACAGAGUAGUUCAAGUCAAAUGGAACUUGAACUCUUUGCCUAUGGGCCUGGUGGUCAGACUCUGUGUUGAGUUCAUUAGAUUAUUGGAGACACAAGGUAGAGCUGGAUGCUUCAAAAAUAUUUGGCUAAAGGAUGACAUUGCUGGUUAUUUGUAGAUAAAGCCAUGAUGGAACCUGCUUGGAAUCAUGAAAUAUGGAACUGGUGGUCAUGUUUAAAAAUACAACUAAUAGUUAAGUACCUACUGGACACUGUAGAGACUUAGGGGCUAGACAGACAUGGUUCCUGCCCCCUUGGAGCUUACACUGUAGCUUCCCCUUAGGUAUGAAGAACAGUGGCUACAACUAACAAAUGGCCACAAAGAUAUAAUUGAGCCAGUGUUCCAAUUAUUAGGGUAAUUCCUAUUUCCUUAAUCAUUCCUAUUGACCAUGUUCUAUAAGCCUGCAUUCUAUAAAUGGCGUAUGACCAUGGGCUGUUUCCCCCCAGCAAGUUGUACAAAGUUCUGUGGUACCAGGGAAAGGGCUUAAGGUUAGCAGGGCCUCUGCGGAAGGACAUAUGAAGUGACUUGGGUUAGGAAACAGGAAGGGAUAGGAUUCAAGAACAGCUAUUGCUUCUGUUCUAUAUAGGAAACUGCAGCGUGAAAAAUGCUGGGCUGGGAAUUUUGAGACCUGGGUUUUAGUUUGUGUUCUAAUACUAACAAGCUAUGUGACUGUGGGUAAGUCAUUUCACAUUCCAUUUGGAUGCCUCUUGAGUGACUCCAGGCCUCUCCAGCUCUAAAACAUUAAGAUCAGGCCCUACGCUACAGCUGGCCAGUGUGUAAUUCUUCUGUUUCUAUGCUGUUAGGUCAAAUAGAUCUUCAAUAGUUACUUGAUUGUUAUUACUUUUUUCUGAAGUGGGUGUUUUAUCAAUGUUUUAGGAUACAGUGAGUCUGCUUCUCCCCUUUGGAGUUAGGAAGGUUGUAGGAAUAUACACUGUAGAGCAUAUGGGAGCUUUAUCCCCUCCUUUUUUCCCCGCUACCUUUCUCCCUCUCCUUCCCUUCAUCACAUUUCUAUUGAGCAUAUGCCAUUGCCGUGUACCAGGUGUGUGCUAGGUUUGGAGAUACAAGGUAAACCUGAGACUUUCCCAGUCUCCAGGAGACAAAACCCUAAUUUCUUUCAUCUGCUGUCUUUCUCUUUGGAAAGAAUCAACGAUAUCCCAGGGGAAUGUGCCCAUGUCCCAGGGUAACCAACUACAGACAGAUGCCCCAUUCUACUCAAGCAACUUUUAGAGUGCCUUGAGAUACACAUCAGAUAAUUAUGCAGGGCCAGGCAUGGUGCUGCACACUUGUAAUCACAGCACUUUGGGAGGCCGAGGCAGCAGAUUGCUUGAGCCCAGGAAUUCAAGUGUAGCCUAGGGAACAUGGCAAAACCCCAGCUCUACAAAAAAAUACACAAAUUAGCUGCGUGUGGUGGCCUAUGACAGGAGGCUGAGAUGGGAGGAUUGCUUGAGCCUGUGAGGUCGAGGCUGCAGUGAGCCGAGAUCAUGCCAUUACUCCAGCCUGGGUGACAUAGGGAGACCCUGUCUUGAAAAAAAAAAAAAAAAGAUAAUUAUUCAGCCCUAGAGUCAUUGUGAAAAGAUCUAUCUUCAGAUAUAAGGAAGAAACAAUCUUUUAUUUCUUAGGAUAAAUCUGUAGAAGGACCUCCAGACAGUGAAGGCCACUGACUACUUUAUACUCUGUAAGCCAUCCCUCCCUGGUAGGAAGGACUAUUUCCAAUCUUACAGAGUACCUCUCAGCAAAUAGACGUUUUCACAUAUACUGUGAUUCAUACAUCCCUAUGGCUGGUGACCUCUUUAAAAAGGAAAGGAAAAAGCCUAAUCAAACAAAAAGAUGCUGCUAGUAAUUCUUACCCUAUUGUGAAUCCUAUAUAAGCAAAUUUGUAUCUUUGUUUUUUCCUACAUUAGCAGAUCUAUUUGAUGUAUAUCUCUGAGUGCAGAAAAUAUUUUAUGGAAAAAUCAAUAUAUGGAAUUUCAAAUUCAGAAUUGCUGAUACACACUAUUUGGUUUCACAAUUUUAUCCUAGGAAAUAGUAUUAGAGAUUUCAAUUUCUGGCUUAAAUGGUAGAAUUAAUUACUCUUAACUCUUAAUUUUACUUCUGAGUUGAGGUCAAGGAACAGGCAGACACCUGCAGUUAACGUCUAUACCUCUCCAUGGCCAAGAGUUUUAAUUUUCUCGUCUUCAAUUUUGUAGAUGUUCAUCAUUACUAAAUGGAUUGAUUAGUAUUUUAUCUCCUCUCCUUGUCCUUACUUUCCCUCUGGUAAAUAUGUUAUAAACAGUGUAAGGCUCCUAAGAUAGAGUAGCUGGUAGGACUUAGAAGAGAAACAAAGGGCACUGAUAACUCACAUAAAUGGAAAAUUGGCUCUGGAAUAACUGACAACAUAUUCAAGUAUUUUAGUGCAGUGUCACUCUCAUUAAGAAGAAGAGAAUCAGUAAAUCUAUGUGACUCUAAACAUUCUAAUGAAAAAAGGAAUAUUCUGCCAAUUAUCUCACAUUUCUAAAUAUCUGGAUAUUGGCCAUUGUAAAGACAAAACAUACAGAUGAUGGACUUGUCUUUCCACCUCUCAUUUGCAUGGUUUGGAGCAUUGUACCUCCAGCCAUAGACUCUAAGGCAAUUUAUAUUUGCUUCCUCUUCCCUCUUGAGAGAAAACGAAAAUCUUAUUUUUCCAAGCAAUUAAAACUCUUCUGCUUCAGCUAGGAUGAAAGAAUUAGGAGUUCUGUCUCCUUGUAUCUAAUUGCAUGUUUCAUCUUUCUUGUUUUAAUGAUUGACAGAAAACUAAUAAACUGAGACAUCUUUGAAUCCAGGUUGAAUGUACUCUCUUGGUGGCCCCAUUGCUAAUUUGUUUGACUAUUUUGCAGGAUUUCUUACUCUGUAAUGGAAAGGUUUAUUAA